UUUUGAGGUUUGAGGUGCCUAACUUGAUUUUCUGUACCCAGUUCAAACUUGACAAGGAAGUUCGUCGCAUCACAAGCUUCCAUGUAAAUAAGCCCAACUGUGCCUUUGUUCUUUUCAGAUAAGAGUGAAGACUGAAUGAAAUCUCCAAGCCACAAAGAUUGUCCUCUAGGGUGACAGAGAAGGAACUUGUAGUAUGCCUCCUUGUUACAGUGCUGGUCACAUGCUGAAUUUCUGCAAUAAAUUUGUUUGUAUUGUAGUUAACAAUACCUAAUUUGGAGUCAUUGUUCAGCUUCUGGUUCACCAAGGUAAGCAAGCUGAUAGCCAGGAGAGUUGGAUCUGUUGUAGCUUAGUCAAAGCUGACAGGAAUUGCGGAACCUCAGCAGUGGUCCUAUCACAACCUCUUCCACAGCGACCAGGAGACUGAUUCAAAACAAUGGCAUGCUUGUUAUAGGUCCUAAUUAGUAGAUGGAACCACCUGUUUCUGACUCAUUCCAAGCCAAACAAGGUACUUCCUGGAGUCCUUCGUUUAGGAAGAAUGGAAGAAUGUGACUCAGAAGUUGGAGAGAAAAUCAGACACUUACCAGCAGAAAACCUCGCAGCGCAUAAGCCUUUUCAGAGUUUCCAUGGUUUCAACAAGGCUUACUUCGAGCAAUCUGCCAUUGUUGGCACUUCAGCUGGUCAGAAGAACAGAACCUGGAAGAACCUGUUCAAAAAAUCACAUCAGAAAGGACAUUGCCAUGGCAACUAAAAUAUCUAAGCUCUCCAAAUUCCAAAACGUGGCUCCAAAUGCAGGAAAAGAAACCUGAAUUCUCAUUUAAUUCAGUAAUGCUCUAAUGCAGUGGUCCCCAGCCUUGGGCCUCCAGAUGUUCUUGGACUUCAAUUCCCAGAAAUCCUGGCCAGCAGAGGUGGUGGUGAAGGUUUCUGGGAGUUGUAAACAUCAAGCAUUAGAGCUUAAAGAAGAAUAUUAAAACAAUACUAAAGAAAUAAUAGAGGCAAAAUAUAAUUUUAUAAAAUUCUGAAUAAUUUAUCUCGUAGAACAUAAAUCUGCAUUAUUAGCCUCAAUUGACUAUGAUCCAGAACUGUGGACUGAAACCAAAGACCAGGAAGCAUGCAAGAAGACCACUCCUGUAGUUAAAAUGAAAUAAAAGCUUUUAUGCUAAUGAAACUCUUUAAACU
rnacentral:lncRNA from 1 species